UACAGAGGUCUCAAGCGUUGUUCGGAUUCAUUGGGCGUAAAGGGUGCGUAGGCGGCGCGGUAAGUCGGGUGUGAAAUCCCCCGGCUUAACCAGGGAACUGCGUCUGAUACUGGAUGGCUUGAGUUUGGGAGAGGGAUGCGGAAUUCCAGGUGUAGCGGUGAAAUGCGUAGAUAUCUGGAGGAACACCAGAGGCGAAGGCGGCCUACUGGGUCAGUACUGACGCUGAGCCGCGAAAGCUAGGGGAGCGAACGGG
rnacentral:rRNA from 1 species